rnacentral:rRNA from 1 species
GUGGGGAAUAUUGGACAAUGGGGGGAACCCUGAUCCAGCCAUGCCGCGUGUGUGAAGAAGGCCUUUUGGUUGUAAAGCACUUUAAGCGAGGAGGAGGCUACCGAGAUUAAUACUCUUGGAUAGUGGACGUUACUCGCAGAAUAAGCACCGGCUGACUCUGUGCCAGCAGCCGCGGUAAUACAGAGGGUGCAAGCGUUAAUCGGAUUUACUGGGCGUAAAGCGCGCGUAGGUGGCCAAUUAAGUCAAAUGUGAAAUCCCCGAGCUUAACUUGGGAAUUGCAUUCGAUACUGGUUGGCUAGAGUAUGGGAGAGGAUGGUAGAAUUCCAGGUGUAGCGGUGAAAUGCGUAGAGAUCUGGAGGAAUACCGAUGGCGAAGGCAGCCAUCUGGCCUAAUACUGACACUGAGGUGCGAAAGCAUGGGGAGCAAACAGGAUUAGAUACCCCUGUAGUCC